GAUGAACGCUGGCGGCGUGCCUAAUACAUGCAAGUCGAGCGAACAGAUGAGGAGCUUGCUCCUCUGACGUUAGCGGCGGACGGGUGAGUAACACGUGGAUAACCUACCUAUAAGACUGGGAUAACUUCGGGAAACCGGAGCUAAUACCGGAUAAUAUAUUGAACCGCAUGGUUCAAUAGUGAAAGACGGUUUUGCUGUCACUUAUAGAUGGAUCCGCGCCGCAUUAGCUAGUUGGUAAGGUAACGGCUUACCAAGGCAACGAUGCGUAGCCUACCUGAGAGGGUGAUCGUCGACACUGGAACUGAGCCACGGUCAAGACUCCUACGGGAGGCAGCAGUAGGGAAUCUUCCGCAAGGGGCGAAAGCCUGACGUAGCAACGCCGCGUGAGUGAUGAUGGUCUUCGGAUCGUAAAACUCUCUUAUUAGGGAAGAACAAAUGUGUAAGUAACUAUGCACGUCUUGACGGUACCUAAUCAGAAAGCCACGGCUAACUACGUG
rnacentral:rRNA from 1 species